rnacentral:rRNA from 1 species
UACGUAGGGGGCAAGCGUUGUCCGGAUUUAUUGGGCGUAAAGAGCGUGUAGGCGGCCUUACAGGUCAGCUGUGAAAACUCGAGGCUCAACCUCGAGAGGUCGGUUGAAACCGUAAGGCUAGAGUCCGGAAGAGGAGAGUGGAAUUCCCGGUGUAGCGGUGAAAUGCGCAGAUAUCGGGAAGAACACCCGUGGCGAAGGCGG